rnacentral:rRNA from 1 species
GACGAACGCUGGCGGCGUGCCUAAUACAUGCAAGUCGAACGCUGAAGAGAGGAGCUUGCUCUUCUUGGAUGAGUUGCGAACGGGUGAGUAACGCGUAGGUAACCUGCCUUUUAGCGGGGGAUAACUAUUGGAAACGAUAGCUAAUACCGCAUAACAAUUGAUGACACAUGUCAUUUAUUUGAAAGGGGCAAUUGCUCCACUACAAGAUGGACCUGCGUUGUAUUAGCUAGUAUGUGAGGUAAUGGCUCACCUAGGCGACGAUACAUAGCCGACCUGAGAGGGUGAUCGGCCAAACUGGGACUGAGACACGGGCCAGAAUCCCACGGGAGGCAGCAGUAGGGAAUCUUCGGCAAUGGGGGCAACCCUGACCGAGCCACGCCGCGUGAGUGAAGAAGGUUUUCGGAUCGUAAAGCUCCGUUGUAAGUCAAGAACGGGUGUGAGAGUGGAAAGUUCACACUGUGACGGUAGCUUACCAGAAAGGGACGGCUAACUACGUG